rnacentral:lncRNA from 1 species
UAUAUAUAUAUAUACACACACAAACACACAAGUAAAUACAUUUUAUAUUUAUCAACUGCAUCAUCAUCAUCAUCAUCAUCAUCAUUAUUAUUAUUGUAAUUACUGUUGUUAUUGUUUCUUUUGUUAUUGCUGUUAUUGUUAUUCAUAUGACUGACUCCCUCACACCUGAGAAAUCUUCAAAGAAAGUUGAUUGGUUCUUUCUCAUAUUCCUACACAUUUUUUUUUUCUUAUAACUCCCACCCCACUUCAGUAUUUGUAAUAUUGUUGGGGGCGGGGGGAAGAAAACGAAAAGAGAAAGAAGUGUAAAAAAAAAAAAAGUAUUUAUCAGUAUGAAAUGAAAUUAAGAAAAAAAAGAAGAUAAAAUGCAAAUGAAGAGAUGAGGUAAAUGACUUAAAAAGACAGAAAAAACUAUUUGUAAAAAGAAAGACAGAAAAUGAAAUAAACUGAGAUAUAGGUGAUAUAACAAUAAUAAGGGUCAGGUUUGACCCUUUGAAGAGAAGAAAUCAAAUAAGAAUGCACAAUUACUAAACGGACUUGAAAAUAACUUGUGCAUUCCUCACCUACACACACACCUUUAUGCCAGUUUUUUUUUGUUGGUCUUUUACACAUUUUGUUCUUGUUUAUAAUUGUUAUUUUGUGAUUGAAACCUCAUGAAAGAAAAAGAAAGAAAUGAUUAUAUAUAUAUAGAUAUGUAUAUACAUAUUGAAGGAGUUAGUAAAUCAGAGAGAGAAUGUGUGUGUGUAUAUGGAGAGAGAGAGAGAGAGAAUGAGAAAAGAAUGUAACAAGAACGAAGAAAAGGAAGGAAAGAAGAACAAUGAAAUAAUUGAGACUCCGAUUAUGUUUCUUUUUUUUCUUCUUCUUCUUCCAAAUUUUACUGUCUCAUUGCAACGACAACUGCGUGCUGGUGCUUCACGACAGGCAUAGCAGUGCAUUAGUUUUUGUCAGAACAUUUAUUCCUUACUCUUUGAAAUUCUUCAAAUAUUUGGAGAAGGAAGAUUUUUAGAUAAUACGGAAAAUUCCUCAUAAAUAAUAACAUUGAUGGUCACAAGAAGAAAGGCAAAGAUGAAAAAGAAAUAUAAAAACAAAACAAAAAAAUUGAUAUGAAAAGAUACGAGAAACACAAAUAAACCAAAAGUGGGGAAGGUGAUGGAAAAAAAAAAUAAGACAAGCCCUGACAAAAAAACGAAAUUUCAAAAAAAAAAAAAAACAAAAACAAAAAAAAAACAAGCAAAAAAAACAAACAAUCCCCUCCCAAAACUAAUUUGUACCAAAAUUGCUGCUAAGCCACAGAGUUUCUUGGGAAUAAUUGUUUCUGUUAUUUUUUUCCUCUUUGUUGUGAGAAUUACCAAAAUUUGUUUUCAUGCACCAAAACAUUCUCAAGUCGAGAGUAGUGAAGAUUUCUGACGACUCAAAACUUAACAAAUGACAACAAAUAUUGGUAAUAAUUGACUUUAGAUUCAGUCUGAGAUCUGUAAGUGCAUGUUCCUUGUUUUGUUUUUUUUUUAUUAUUAUUUAUGCUGGGUUGGGAGGUCAGAAUUGUUCAGUAAACAGCUUUGACUCUGUUGGAAUUUACAAUUUCAUUUUUUUUUUUUUUUAAUUUAAUUUUUUAAAAAAUUUCUUUUCAGGGGUGGGCAAGGCAAAAGUUGAAGUGUAUUUCGAGUGGUGAAAAUUUUGACAGUGCCACGCUGAGGCACUUUUACACUGUUGUUAGUUUUUUUUUUGCUCUGUACAGCUGUAUAUGUUUUUUAUUUUAUAUAUAUGUAUGUAUAUACAUAUAUGUAUACACUGUGUGUGUGUGUGCAUGCAUACAGAUAUACAAACUCAUAUACAAUCACAUGUGUAUAUAUAUAUACACACAAAUGUAAAAUGUGUAUGUGUGAGUGUGAAAUAUAUAUGUGCACACACAUAGAUACACACUUUAUAUAUAUGUAUAUGUGUGUGUGUGCAUAUUUAUAUAAAUAUAUGCUCAUGUGUAUCUCUCUCUCUUUAUAUAUAUAUAUAUAUAUAUAUAUACACACACAUACAUAAAAGACCUACAUAAUAUAUAGAGUUAAUAAUAAUGAUAAUAAUAAUAAUAGCAAGGAAAACUGAGGUUUUGCACUGCUGUUAAUCUGAGACUGUUCCUUGUGUUACCACUUUUUGGUAUGACUAGAGACCAUCAAAGAGCAGUAACAUGAAACUUGGAAUACUGAUGGUCUAAAACCCAUUAUAAUUCUGUUAUUAUUACCUAUAUAUUAAUGUGCAUGUAUUUUCUAUAUGUGUGUAUAUAUCUAUAUCUAUCUAUCUACAUAUAUUAUAUAUAUAUAUAUAUAUAUAUAUAUAUAUGUAUAUAUAUAAAUAUAUAUAUACAUACUUAAAUGUACAAAGACACAUAGAUGGUGUCUGUUAUUUUAUGUGAUAUAUGUAUAUUAUAUCUGUUUAUAUAUUUGUAUAUAUAUCUAUAUAUAUAUAUAUAUAUAUAUACCUGCAUACAUAUAUGCACACACACAUACGUAUACAUAUUAUACAUAUUGGUUCAAAAUUUAUCAAUGUGGUGCUAAAAGUCUUGGAAAAAAACUAUCCCCCCUAAAACCACUCCAAAAAUGAGGGCAAAUAGUGCAGUUUUUAACCAAACAAAACAAAAAAAAAAUGAGCAGAAGACAAAAAAAAAUACAAAAACCCAACUAAAUAUUUGUUUUUAUGAACUUAAAAGUAUGUUUAUUUUCUUGUUAUUA